UGGCCGUGGAGCUCGCCCCCUUGAACCUGAGCGGUGGCUCUCCUCCAGGUAAUCUCUCUUCCUAUAGGCUUGUUCUGCUAGGCUCCAGCAAUUGCGCCAAUUUUGGAUUCUUUAUGAGAAAUCGACUGGCAGACUCCUGUUAUCCCCUUCCUGUAGCUUGUAGAGAUUUUUCUGGUGGAGAGAAGGAGAUGCUUAUGGUCUCCUGACCUUUCUCUGUCUUUUUUAAUCUUCGCACGGUUUCUUCUUACUUAUAAUUUUCACGCUGGCCAUUGGGAGAGGGUGUUCUCCGGUGAGGCACCAAGGAAGCCGGGAAUGGCAAAUGCAGUGAAGUGACCCAUAAGGCACAUAUGGAAUUUUUUUAGGAUCAUAGAAAGCGAAGACUUGCCUCAAUUUAUGUCAGAGUUGCUCAUAUCCCCCUGCCUUUUUGCUUACCUUGCAUUGUUUUACGGAAUUAACUUUUAGUUAUAUAUUUUCAGUUGGCAUUCUGCCCAACUUUGAUUAUCUCUUGAACAUAUCUGUAUUAAUUAUAUGAAGUUACAUAUAGGAAAACGUGCUCAAUGUAUUUUAUUGGUCUCUUUACAUUUGUAGACAGUCCACAGGAGGAGGCAAGUUGAGGGCUUCCUAGUUGCUACUACUGUCAGCUUCAACCUAUGCAAUGUGUUACAACUUUGCAUCAUUCCUACUUCAUGCACACCGGCUGAUUCUUCACAGGUAUGCUUCCCCUUCUAGUAGUUGCAUAAAAGGCGUAUUCUUUCUAUUUGUUGUUACCAUAUCUUAGCAAGUUAUAUUAAUGAUAUAUGUAUUUUAAGACAAAGGAAGAAGGCUUGCAUGUACUAAAUGAAUUUGGUUCAUAUGUGUUAGUUGAUAUAAAAUAGAUUUUUCGCACCGUUUGAUAUUUUUGAAAUAAAUAUUUUUAAAUUUGAUAAUAUUUGAAAUGAUAACAUAAUGAGUUUUUAGAUGUUUGUAUUCAAUUGGAUUUAUCAUUUGUGUGCAUGUAUUGUGUGCGUGCAUGUAUACACGCGUCUAUGUUGUACACUUGUACUAUUUCAUGUUUCUCGUAUAAGUUUUGUUUGAAUGAGGAAGUAAACUUGUAUGCGCACACACACCCAUUUAUCUAUGUUGUACUGUUGACCCACUUGAUAUUUCUAGAAAAAUAUUGUUUGUGUGCGCUCAUUUGAUUUUUGCCGGUGGCAUGCAAUACAGCUUUGAUCUUAUACACAUCCUCGCCGAGUUGCUUGACUUUCUCAAUCCUUGAUCCAACUAUAACAAAAAAAAACUACUUCAUCUCCCCUUCUCGAUUUUGUUCAUCCAAGUGUUCUUCACUUGUGGCGGCACUAAACCCUAAUCACAACUUCGCGCAUGUAUUUGCUCCUUAGGUUUUACUAAGGGCGUUGCAACAUGGUGGGUACUCUUGAAGAGAGAUAUACACCAGGGAGUAAUUUUGAAAAAAAGUAGAUAGUUUGGGUUCUUGGCCUCUGGAGUUCUGGAGCAUGAGAUAGAUUGAUGGAGAUCCUAUAGAAUCUGUAAGCCUUUUUAAAUGCAAAUAGAAUUAGUAUAAGCCUUUUUAAAUGCAAUUUUGGGUGACUACAGUCUAUGUGGUUGUUCCAGGCUAUUUGCUUUGUAAAAUAAAUGGAAAACUAACUUAUAGCAAGAUCAUAUUUACAAUAGGAUUAUUGUUUUAUUCAUUUAACUUGUAUUUUGCCUGUAGUUUUCUAGGUAUUAGGUAUUUAUUAUUUUCUCCCUUCAUAAAAGAUUUCUUUUGAUAUUCUACAGUAUUAUGAAAUACACAUCUGUAACUAACAAAUUAUGGUUUGUAAUCAUAUAGUUAUAUGUAUUUUCGUUAUUUACCUCUAUUACAUGUACCUUGUAUUUUCUCAAUUAUACCUUUUAUUUUCACUUGGUGCACUACAUGCUCCUGAUCACACCUAAUAAAUUUUCAUUUGGGAAACUACGAACUUUCUCGCAUAGAACGAAAACUCUAAACUUCCCUGUCAUGCAAAGCACACCCAUUCUCUAGUUGUACUAACUAUUGCUAACUGGUCACCGUUUUACCUGAAGUAUGCACCCAUGCAUGUGGUCAACGUGUUACCCAUCUCUUCAUUUCUUCUUCUGAAUAGAUAAAACAGAUUCAUUUCUCUUCCUGGCUGUACUUUUUUUAGAUGAUCCGGCUGUACUUAAUCUACAGAAUAUGAAAAACAACUUCGGCUAGCCCAUGUAAUUUUUUUAGAACUGCCCAUGUACGGGUGGUACAGGUCCAGGGAUCAUGAUGCAGGCCCAGUUGAGUAAUUUAGUGAACGAUACCACUCCAUAACAUUAAAUCUAUAUAUGAUAGAGUGCUGGUGUACUUUCUUCCCCUAUCUCUCUCAUCUGAGUCAAUCCCCUCCAGCCUCCUCAUCCACACAUGUCAACGCCUUCGAUUAGCAGCCUGUGAAGAAAGAUGUCGCUGCUGGCGCUGAUGCGAAACUAAUUCCCAAGCCAUUUCAGCACUAUUUUUGGUUUCUCCUUCCAAUUUCUCUUCCUUCGGGUAUAUUCCGCAAACUAUAGUCAUGGUGAUGUGACGAUAGGGUGGCGUUGAGCACAAAGAAUGGUUGCCCUCAGGUGGGCGGAGUGACACGCCGGUUAUGGUCCAUGAGAUGGGUAUCAGAGGCAGAUGUGUAUAAUUAAGGAGAUUUAGGAACAAAUACAAACAUUUGAGCAGUGUGUACAUGGAUGGUGAGUUGUGUCGCCUUCCUCAGUUUUGGCUAUGUGGACAUCCACCAAUGUAACUUCUAUUGCUUUGCAUCCUUUCUCAUUUAAAUCUUUACGAUGUCCUAGCAAAUUAUUUUACUUAUACGUAUUUUAGUCAAAGCAAGAAGGCUUACAGUUAUUAAUUGAAAUUUAUGGUAGAUAAGAUGGAUGGGAGUUCUACCUACAGGUGUAUGCGAGUUCACUUCCUAGUUGCAGGUGAUGUCACUCUCGUACUACUUAGAACAUUGCGGUUGAUUCUUCACAUGUAUCUUUUUACCUUCUAGUUGGACUGAAAUGUCUGUUUGUUUUAUUUGUUGUUAGCUUAUAUUGGAAAAUUAAAUACUUUUAAUAUAAUUCAAGAAGGCCUAUAUUAUUUGAAAUUUUCUACUGGCUCUGUUGAACUGAAGAGGACACACGUUAGGUGAAUGUCUCAAUGUAUUCAAAAUUUACAACAUGACAUGCAUGGUUCUGAUAGUGCUGACAAACGCUUGUUAUCUAACAGGUGUCCUUAUUGGUAGAUGCUAAGUAAGCUUUCUCUACCUCAGUAAAUGCAAUAGUCCUUAGUUCACUGAAUAAGCUACUAAUCAAUAUAUAUAUUUUGGAUAUGAUUCAUUAGUUCAUAAAUAUUUAAGCAUAGAGUCCCAUACUUGUCAUGAAGUUCCUGAGUUUCCAAUAUUCUAAAUUUGUAUAUAUUCUUGUGGGGAUGGUUGAGUUUAGGUAAAAAUGAUCAAUCUAUAUGAUAUUAUUAGUAAAUAAAAUAAGAGCUUGUAAUGUUAUUGGACUUACCAUUGAACUUCUGCACUAUUGUGGAGGUUACAAUAAGGACAGUUUGGUUGUUGCUUACACCCUAAUUUCCCCAUAAUGUCAAUACGAUUUUAUUACCCUAAAGAGUAUAAGCAGAAAAAACUAAUGCUAAUAGCAAUGGUAGAAGUCCAAUUCGUAUUUUAAGAACGGGUAUGCAUUAUGCACUUACUUUGGUAUAUAAUUUCAAUCUGCAGAAAUAUGAAGGUUAUUAGUUAUUUCUUCUUAUUCUUGAUUCCACAGGCUUCAUUUGGGGAGUAACCAAUGACAUUUAUUGGAGAUUAAUUAGUUCACAGUAAGGAUUAAUUACUUGAAAAAUCUUAUUUACAACUAAAAAAUAUAGACAUACCUGAGCAUUGUUUAUCAUUCUUGGCCUGUUCCUAUAAUAUGUCUUUGCUAGCAAUCUCGAAGUAGUAAUGCGGAUAACCUUAUGCCGAUCUUUUCACCUUCAAAUUGUUAAAUCCAUAAAUAGAUUUGUCAUUUAGCUUUGAUUUCUACGUGUCCAUCAAACCUCCGAGACGGUUGAAUGAAUUGUUUGGCCCUAUAAGAACAGUCAAAUUAUACUCAGUGACUGUUGUUUUACUUUUAAAAUGAUGGAACAGUCUGAAAUUAGAUAUGUUAUGAAAUAACCUUUUCAUCCAUCUAGAUCAUAUUGAGGCUCAUAAGCUCGUGUCGGUUGUACAUUCCAGUUUUGCUUCCUUGUUGUGAAGUCACUAUGCUUCUUGUAUGACAUUGUUUUCUCUGCAAAAAAGUUAGACAUUUGUUAGUCAAUUGAUAAUAUACAUACAAAGAUUGUAUCUGGAUAAUAAAUACACACCGUUAUGAUUCAGGUGAUAGGCAACUCGGAAGGAUGGCAGGGUGUGACUUCGUCGAGCAUUGAGUCGCACGUCAAGUUGCAUUUUUCACAGAUUCUGAUCUUUUCCCAGCGUUGUGUUGCCCUCUAUAGAAACUUCUUUUGUUGACGUGUGUCGAGUAGCAGAUUUGGCUGGCUUGAAUUUUGGAUAUGUGCUGGGCAUGGCCGAAAUUUGGCUGGCUUAAAGUUUUGGAUGCGUGCUGGGUAUGGCCGGCUGGGUGCCUUCUUAUUUGUGCCUGCCUUGGCCGACUACAUGUAAACUUCAGGUUGAGUCCGUAUGGAAUUAUGCAUGCAGUCUGGUACUGGUGCACGUGAGUUUCCAUAUGGACAAUUUGCCCGAUUUGGAGAUACAUGGGCAUGUUUUUUCUAAGGAAAGACCUGCCAUAAGGAAAGACUUGCCUAGGGGAUCUCUUUUUGUACGUGUUCAAGUUGGACUUUGUUCAACAUGAUUGACCGGAGGUUGUUCGGAGGCUUUUUUCUACGUGAUUGCUGGGGCAGAUUGAUUGGUUGCAUCCAUGCCAAGUGCUAACAUGAACGUGGGUUCAUCUUAUACGUGUCUCUUUUUUGCGGGCUUAUCUUAGACGUGUCUGAUUUAAAAAGUUGUACAUGUUAUCGUGUACAUAAUUUUUACAUAUUUUUAAUCUCAACCAUUGUUGUAUAAAUCAAUGGCUAAUAUAUUUUGUACCAACUAUUGCUAACUGGUCACCGUUUUACCUGAAGUAUGCACCCAUGCAUGUGGUCAACGUGUUACCCAUCUCUUCAUUUCUUCUUCCGAAUAGAUAAAACAGAUUCAUUUCUCUUGCUGGCUGUACUUUUUUAGAUGAGCCGGCUGUACUUAAUCUAUAGAAUAUGAAAAACAACUUCGGCUAGCCCAUGCAAUUUUUUUAGAACUGCCCAUGUACGGGUGGUACAGGUCCAGGGAUCAUGAUGCAGGCCCAGUUGAGUAAUUUAGUGAACGAUACCACUCCAUAACAUUAAAUCCAUAUAGGAUACAGUGCUAGU
rnacentral:lncRNA from 1 species